rnacentral:misc_RNA from 1 species
AAUCUCUGUGUAUAUUGACUGAAAUUUUCACAAGAUUAAUGGUUUUCACUUCUUCUCCUACAAGGAAAAGGCAAGGGAAACAAUUGCUUAUAAUACAACAGAAGCAACAGACUAACAGUACUAAUGCAGCCCAAACUGAAUUACAUUUACUGAAACUCCAUCGCCUAAAGUAGGACUUAUAUGCUGCCACUUUGGUUAGGUUGCUCCAGCUCUUCCAGAAACUCCAUUGUCAUUUUCAUGAAGCUUUGCUUGUGCAAUCGUUCCCAUUCCUCAAAGUCCCAUUCACCAAACAAAUUAGGAUCACUUUGGUCAGCCCAAAUAUAUGCUUCAACCAUUAAUGUAUCCGAACUGUCCGUCAGGGAAACAUCAACAGUUUUCCUUUCAUACUCAACGUCCUCAA